GACGAACGCUGGCGGCGGGCUUAACACAUGCAAGUCGAACGGACAUUCCCUGCUUUUGGGGGGUGCUCGAGUGGCGAACGGGUGACUAACCCGUGAGUAACCUGCCCUUGACUUUAGGAUAACUUCAUGAAACUGGUGCUAAUACCGGAUAGGAGCUCCUGCUGCAUGGUGGGGGUUGGACAGUUUCGGCGGUUGGGGAUGGACUCGCGGCUGAUCAGCUUGUUGGUGGGGUAGUGGCUUACCAAGGCUUUGACGGGUAGCCGGCCUGAGAGGGUGACCGGCCACAUUGGGACUGAGGUACGGCACAGACUCCUACGGGAGGCAGCAGUGGGGAAUAUUGCACAAUGGGCGGAAGCCUGAUGCAGCAACGCCGCGUGCGGGAUGACGGCCUUCGGGUUGUAAACCGCUUUCGCCUGUGACGAAGCGUGAGUGACGGUAAUGGGUAAAGAAGCACCGGCUAACUACGUG
rnacentral:rRNA from 1 species